AGCUCCAAUAGCGUAUAUUAAAGUUGUUGCAGUUAAAAAGCUCGUAGUCUGAUUUUUGGGGGGCAAGGCGCGUCCGGGCUAUUGGCCUGUGCACGGCGCUUUGUCUGCCAUUGCCUUCGGAGGAGGCGUGGUGCUAUUAAUUUAGUGUCGCGUUUAUUCCGAUAGUUUACUUUGAGAAAAAUAGAGUGUUCAAAGCAGGCGAUUGCCUUGAAUACAUUAGCAUGGGAUAAUGGAAUAGGACGUUGGUUCUAUUUUUGAUGGUUUACGGACCGACGUAAUGAUUAAUAGGGACAGUUGGGGGACAUUUGAUUCCAUGGCUAGAGGUGAAAUUCUUGGAUUCAUGGAAAGAC
rnacentral:rRNA from 1 species